UACAGAGGUCCCAAGCGUUGUUCGGAUUCAUUGGGCGUAAAGGGUGCGUAGGCGGCGCGGUAAGUCUGAUGUGAAAGCCCGGGGCUCACCCCCGGAAGGGCAUUGGAAACUGGCGGACUCGAGUCCCGGAGAGGAGGGUGGAAUUCCUGGUGUAGCGGUGAAAUGCGUAGAUAUCAGGAGGAACACCGGUGGCGAAGGCGGCCCUCUGGACGGUGACUGACGCUGAGACGCAAAAGCGUGGGGAGCAAACAGG
rnacentral:rRNA from 1 species